rnacentral:rRNA from 1 species
UCGAGAAUCAUUCGCAAUGGGCGAAAGCCUGACGAUGCGACGCCGUGUGAGCGACGAAGGCCUUAGGGUUGUAAAGCUCUUUCGCUUGGGAACAAGAGAUGUUGGCUAAUAUCCAGCAAAUUUGAGGGUACCAGGUAAAGAAGCACCGGCUAACUCCGUGCCAGCAGCUGCGGUAAUACGGAGGGUGCAAGCAUUAAUCGGAUUUAUUGGGCGUAAAGGGCGCGUAGGCGGCGUGAAAAGUCAGAUGUGAAAUCCCGGGGCUCAACCCCGGAACAGCAUUUGAAACUCUCACACUAGAGGGUAGGCGGAGAAAACGGAAUUCCACAAGUAGCGGUGAAAUGCGUAGAUAUGUGGAAGAACACCGGUGGCGAAGGCGGUUUUCUAGCUUAUUCCUGACGCUGAGGCGCGAAAGCAAGGGGAUCAAACAGG